AUGAACGCUGGCGGCGUGCCUAAUACCUGCAAGUCGAGCGAACAGACGAGGAGCUUGCUCCUCUGACGUUAGCGGCGGACGGGUGAGUAACACGUGGAUAACCUACCUAUAAGACUGGGAUAACUUCGGGAAACCGGAGCUAAUACCGGAUAAUAUAUUGAACCGCAUGGUUCAAUAGUGAAAGACGGUUUUGCUGUCACUUAUAGAUGGAUCCGCGCCGCAUUAGCUAGUUGGUAAGGUAACGGCUUACCAAGGCAACGAUGCGUAGCCGACCUGAGAGGGUGAUCGGCCACACUGGAACUGAGACACGGUCCAGACUCCUACGGGAGGCAGCAGUAGGGAAUCUUCCGCAAUGGGCGAAAGCCUGACGGAGCAACGCCGCGUGAGUGAUGAAGGUCUUCGGAUCGCAAAACUCUGUUAUUAGGGAAGAACAAAUGUGUAAGUAACUAUGCACGUCUUGACGGUACCUAAUCAGAAAGCCACGGCUAACUACGUG
rnacentral:rRNA from 1 species